rnacentral:misc_RNA from 1 species
GAAAUGCGAUACGUAAUGCGAAUUGCAGAAUUCAGUGAAUCAUCGAAUCUUUGAACGCAAGUUGCGCUUUCGAGAGCCCUCGGAAGCAUGCCUCUCUGAGUAUCGGUUUCUAUAUCUCACACGUGUGUGUGUGUGGGGAGAAUGGGAGUUGCAGCAGCAAUGUGUGUGUGUGCAUCUCUUGAAGUGUCACAGCACGUCGGCCAAAGUCCAUCGGGUUCUUGGAACGAUAAUCCGUCAUGGCGCCAGAAAACCAUACACAAGAUCUCAGAUGAGGUAAGACUACCCGCCGAAUUUAA